rnacentral:rRNA from 1 species
AGCUGGGCGAGAUUAUACCUAGUCACUACUGCUCAAUGAGACAUUAAAUAGCCGCAGUACCCUGACUGUGCAAAGGUAGCAUAAUCAGUUGGCUUAUAAUUGAAGUCUUGCAUGAAUGUAGCCAUAGGUAGAUGCUGUCUCUACACUGCAUAUUGAAUUUACUAAGCCGGUGAAAAAUCCAGCACGAAAAAAAAUAGACGAGAAGACCCUAGAAAUUUCUUGGAGGGUAUAACAUCUAUAUUAGAUUUUGUUGGGGCGACAGGGUAACAUCAUUAAACUUACCUUAUUGAAUUAGAACUAAUUGUGUAAAAAAAAAUUACUCUAGGGAUAACAGCAUAAUUCUUGAGAGUUUGUGACCUCGAUGUUGGACUAGGAAAGGUAAUGUUCAGAAGAUAUUAUUAUUGGCUCUGUUCGAGCUGUUAUUCCUACAUG